GACGAACGCUGGCGGCGUGCCUAAUACAUGCAAGUCGAGCGGACCGAUAGGAGCUUGCUUCUGUUGGUUAGCGGCGGACGGGUGAGUAACACGUGGGCAACCUGCCUGCAAGACUGGGAUAACUUCGGGAAACCUAAGCUAAUACCGGAUAAUUCAUCCCCUCGCAUGAGGGGAUGCUGAAAGUCGGUUUACGCUGACACUCACAGAUGGGCCCGCGGCGCAUUAGCUAGUUGGUGAGGUAAUGGCUCACCAAGGCGACGAUGCGUAGCCGACCUGAGAGGGUGAUCGGCCACACUGGGACUGAGACACGGCCCAGACUCCUACGGGAGGCAGCAGUAGGGAAUCUUCCACAAUGGACGAAAGUCUGAUGGAGCAACGCCGCGUGAGCGAUGAGGGCCUUCGGGUCGUAAAGCUCUGUUGUUAGGGAAGAACAAGUAUCGGAGUAACUGCCGGUACCUUGACGGUACCUAACCAGAAAGCCACGGCUAACUACGUGCCAGCAGCCGCGGUAA
rnacentral:rRNA from 1 species